CAAUAGCGUAUAUUAAUGUUGUUGCAGUUAAAAAGCUCGUAGUUGGAUUUCUGUUUGGAAUGAUGGGUCCAUGUCGCAAGAUAUGUGUACUAUGUCAUUUCUGAACAUCUUUGGGGAGAGUGCGUUUGUGCUUAAUUGUAUGGGCGUAGGAUCCUCAUCGUUUACUGUGAAAAAAUUAGAGUGUUUAAAGCAGGCAUUUGCAUUGAAUACAUUAGCAUGGAAUAAUAAGAUAGGACUUUGGUGCUAUUUUGUUGGUUUGCACACCAAGGUAAUGAUUAACAGGGACAGUUGGGGGUAUUCGUAUUUAAUUGUCAGAGGUGAAAUUCUUGGAUUUAUGAAAGACGAACUACUGCGAAAGCAUUUACCAAGGAUGUUUUCUAUUAAUUCAAGAACGAAAGUAGAAGGGAUCGAAGAUGAUCAGAUACCGU
rnacentral:rRNA from 1 species